AACUACACAAUGACCAGCUGAUGCCUGUACCUCAUUCAAAAUCCUUAGUUCAUGCACCAAAGGUGCAUGAAUUUAUGUCAGUGACCAUGUCUGAGUCAGAAGGAAGAGGUAUUUUGUUGUUGAUUACAAACAACACCAAAUGCUUUCUCAUGUGUUCAUAUAUUUGUAUACUCUGUGUUAAACCUACUGCACUUUUUCCUGAGUAGCAUAAAUUAAUUUCGGCAUUACCUAGAUGUUUGGUCGGUUAAAGUAUAAUACAUUGUGAUAUGCAUGGCCAAAGCAAUUGAUCAUUUGGGAAACAGCAGAGAGUUGUACAAAAAUCAUUUGCAAUGGCGCUCCAAAGCAUUUGCUAUUUGUUUGAAAUGGUUUUGAGAAAUUAAAUUCUGAUCUGAAAAAUUCUCCAAAGCAGCCAAAAAAACUGCACUAAUACUAAACUAAAAAAAAUGUUUCCCCCUUCAGUAAACUCACCACUGGAAUGUGGAUGGAUACUCUGGUCAUGUUCGGCUCUCUGAGCGGGUUCAGCCCAUGUGAACUGGUUGGACCUGGGCCACCGUGAUGUUUCUUGUUGUACGAAAACUCACCACUGGAAUGGGAAAGAACACCCUGGUCAUGUCCUGUUCUUUGAGAGGGUGCUGUCCACAUGGGCUGGUUGGACAUGGCCCGCUGUGAUGUUUCUUGUUGUACGGUAGGUGCUGUUUACAGACAUCUAAAGUUCUUUGAAGAGGUGAGGUUUUCCCUUACCAGGCUGUGGGACCUCUGCUUUCCUGACGCUUUUGAGGAGUCUGGUUUCAUCUUUGUAGGGUGGCCACCACGAGAAGCCAUGUUCGUACCAAGAUUUUGACACUGGUCCGGUUUGCUCCUCCCCCACAAACUCUACUAUGAGAAUUGAAAAGUUUAUGGAGAAUUAGUAAACCUCUCAACAGAAGAAGAAGAAUACAAGUUGCAUGUGAAAGGUGCAUGAAGUCUGUAUUUCCAACAAGCCAUUGAAGAGAGAAUUGUCCUCUAACUGAGAAUCCACACAGGUUGUUGCAAUCCUUACUUUGCAAAAAUGGCUAGUCACACAUUUGUACUGAAAAUUGGCUGAUAUUGUUUAUAUAGUUGUCAGUCCUAUAGACAUGAUCAAACUUGUUAUACACUACAUAAAGAGUGAAGUCAGU